GACAGAGGCCCCGAGCGUUAGUCGGAAUCACUGGGCUUAAAGGGUGCGUAGGCGGAUCGGUCAGUGUUCUGUGAAAGCCCCCGGCUCAACCGGGGAACCGCAGGGCAUACUGCCGAUCUUGAGGAAGCUAGAGGCCGGCGGAACGAUAGGUGGAGCGGUGGAAUGCGUAGAGAUCUAUCGGAACGCCAAUGGUGAAGACAGCCGGCUGGAGCUUUCCUGACGCUGAGGCACGAAAGCGUGGGGAGCAAACAGG
rnacentral:rRNA from 1 species